CAGGCGACGACGGGUAGCCGGCCUGAGAGGGCGACCGGCCACACUGGGACUGAGACACGGCCCAGACUCCUACGGGAGGCAGCAGUGGGGAAUAUUGCACAAUGGGCGGAAGCCUGAUGCAGCGACGCCGCGUGAGGGAUGACGGCCUUCGGGUUGUAAACCUCUUUCAGCAGGGACGAAGCGCAAGUGACGGUACCUGCAGAAGAAGCGCCGGCCAACUACGUGCCAGCAGCCGCGGUAAGACGUAGGGCGCGAGCGUUGUCCGGAUUUAUUGGGCGUAAAGAGCUCGUAGGCGGCUUGUCGCGUCGAAUGUGAAAUCUCAAAGCUCAACUNNGNNNUUGCAUUCGAUACGGGCAGGCUAGAGUUCGGUAGGGGAGACUGGAAUUCCUGGUGUAGCGGUGAAAUGCGCAGAUAUCAGGAGGAACACCGNUGGCGAAGGCGGGUCUCUGGGCCGAUACUGACGCUGAGGAGCGAAAGCGUGGGGAGCGAACAGGAUUAGAUACCCUGGUAGUCCACGCUGUAAACGUUGGGCGCUAGGUGUGGGGACCCUCUCCGGNUUUCUGCGCCGCAGCUAACGCAUUAAGCGCCCCGCCUGGGG
rnacentral:rRNA from 1 species